CCAAUUGAAACUUACUCUAGUGAUGCUUAUUUGUUUUAAUCUUCUUAAUUUUUGGUCUUUCGAUUUCUUCAAGUCCCCAUUGUGCAUCCAAUAAUUCGGCCAAAAGAAAAAAAGAUUGAAAGGAAGAAAAUCGUGCUCUCUUUUCAAAUGGAUUUCAGUUCCAAUGGUCGUCAUUCUCUCUCACAGUCUCUAAGUUUCGUUUGCCGAUUCACUGUUAAAUGCAAUGCAUAUAAAGGAUGAGUGAGGACGAUUCAAGCACAAGUUCUAAACCACAACCUGGGAGCAUGAUAGACGAACAAAUGGGAACUCUUUUUCACAAGUUUCUUGAUUUCAAGCGCAAGAAUAAGGUUAUGCUUUAUGAUCAUCGCCUUACUGAGGGAGGGCUCGUACCAUCAUAUGAAGGGCAUGCUAAUUCUCACACUCGGUUGCCUUCAUGGACAGGGAUCUUGUACAUCUUGAUAAGCUGAAUUCCUAUCCUCUGUCACCAACUAUAGACUGUUUUGGUGUUUUGAUGUCUCUAAUCAACUACUGUCUAAUUUGGUUUGCAUUGCCGUUUGGCUGCUCUUUGUUGUUUUUGUAUGAUGGAGGAAUGUUGCUUCUUCCCAUAACGGACAAUUUACUCCUCUACAUUUAUUACUUGUUUAGUAAACCUGCUCCUUUUGUUGCUUAAUUGCAGCUGAAUAUAUUUGAUAUAUUGAACAUUGUCUUUUUAUUUA